rnacentral:rRNA from 1 species
AUGAACGCUGGCGGCGUGCCUAAUACAUGCAGGUCGAGCGAACAGACGAGGAGCUUGCUCCUCUGACGUUAGCGGCGGACGGGUGAGUAACACGUGGAUAACCUACCUAUAAGACUGGGAUAACUUCGGGAAACCGGAGCUAAUACCGGAUAAUAUAUUGAACCGCAUGGUUCAAUAGUGAAAGACGGUUUUGCUGUCACUUAUAGAUGGAUCCGCGCCGCAUUAGCUAGUUGGUAAGGUAACGGCUUACCAAGGCAACGAUGCGUAGCCGACCUGAGAGGGUGAUCGGCCACACUGGAACUGAGACACGGUCCAGACUCCUACGGGAGGCAGCAGUAGGGAAUCUUCCGCAAUGGGCGAAAGCCUGACGGAGCAACGCCGCGUGAGUGAUGAAGGUCCUCGGAUCGUAAAACUCUGUUAUUAGGGAAGAACAAAUGUGUAAGUAACUAUGCACGUCUUGACGGUACCUAAUCAGAAAGCCACGGCUAACUACGUG